rnacentral:tRNA from 1 species
GCAGGCGUGGCGGAACUGGCAGACGCGCUAGACUUAGGAUCUAGUGGGCACCCCCCGUGAGAGUUCGACUCUCUCCGCCUGCACCA